CGGGGCAUAGCUCAGCUUGGUAGAGCGCUCGCUUUGGGAGCGAGAGGUCGUCAGUUCAAAUCUGGCUGCCCCGA
rnacentral:tRNA from 2 species